rnacentral:lncRNA from 1 species
CGUUCUCGUACAGGAUCUCCAUCGUAUCGAAAGGCUGUAGAAGACCUACAACUGGUAUUUCCAGAGGGUGUGUGCUGCAAUGAAACUUCAGUUAUGAGACAUGAGCAGAUAUCCUGCUUGCAUUCAGAUCCUGAAGCUAGUUUGGAUCGUGAACAGCUGCACACCCUUAGAACCGUAUACAAAGACCAAUUUUGUUCAGGAUUCAGUCAAGGCAAGGCAUUCUUCCACUUCCUCACCCCUCUAUCAACACAGCACAAAACUGAACCAAUGACACAAACAUAAACAGUCAUGUUGAUGUUUUACUAGCUGCGAUUGACCUUUGUAAGGAGGAUGGGAACCGUUGUUAUUUAUUUGUGAUUUGGUGCAAGUAGGGCCUUUGGUCUGCAGUGCUCUUUGUCAGACCACCUGCCUGCUGAUACCUUCCAACCUCCUGCAGCAGAAUCAGCCUCCUCUCUACUCAGAGCUACUGCAGAGGUUGCUUAGGACAGGCUGCCACCUAGUGGCUGGAAGGCUCUGCACACCAGAUGAGAAACAAAAGCAGCGCAUAUGCAAGUUACUGAGGUCCUCUGCUGGUGAAGCACUUCUAUGUGAGGGCCCCUGCCUUAUCAUUGCUUUGCAAGCAGACAAUGCCAUCACAUGUUUCGAUAUCAUUCUCAAGAGCAUUUGCAGAGAGAGACCUGACUUUAAGAGAGUUACAAUGAAACUUCUUUACCCAAACUCUGAAAGUGGGGUGAGUACAAU